rnacentral:tRNA from 1 species
GUUUUAAUAGUUUAAAAAAAACGCUGGUCUUGUAACCCAGAUACAGGAAUAAGCCCCACUUUUAAAACU